rnacentral:rRNA from 1 species
UAAGCGUGCGCAGGCGGUUUUGUAAGACUGUCGUGAAAUCCCCGGGCUCAACCUGGGAAUGGCGAUGGUGACUGCAAGGCUAGAGUUUGGCAGAGGGGGGUAGAAUUCCACGUGUAGCAGUGAAAUGCGUAGAUAUGUGGAGGAACACCGAUGGCGAAGGCAGCCCCCUGGGUCAAAACUGACGCUCAUGCACGAAAGCGUGGGGAGCAAACAGGAUUAGAUACCCUUGU